UACGUAGGGUGCAAGCGUUAAUCGGAAUUACUGGGCGUAAAGCGUGCGCAGGCGGUUUUGUAAGUCUGUCGUGAAAGCCCCGGGCUCAACCUGGGAAUUGCGAUGGGACUGCAAGGCUUGAAUCUGGCAGAGGGGGGUAGAAUUCCACGUGUAGCAGUGAAAUGCGUAGAGAUGUGGAGGAACACCGAUGGCGAAGGCAGCCCCCUGGGUCAAGAUUGACGCUCAUGCACGAAAGCGUGGGGAGCAAA
rnacentral:rRNA from 1 species